UACGUAGGGGGCAAGCGUUGUCCGGAUUUAUUGGGCGUAAAGAGCGUGUAGGCGGCCGGGUAGGUCUGCUGUGAAAACUCGAGGCUUAACCUCGAGCUGUCGGCGGAAACCAUUUGGCUAGAGUCCGGAAGAGGAGAAUGGAAUUCUUGGUGUAGCGGUGAAAUUCGUGGAUAUCAAGAGGAACACCUGCGGCGAAGGCGGGUUGCUGGGCUGACACUGACGCUGAGGCGCGAAAGCUAGGGGAGCGAACGGG
rnacentral:rRNA from 1 species